GGAGCCGUAGCUCAACCGGCCAGAGCCUUGAAAUGUUAAUCAAGCCGUUGCGGGUUCAAGUCCCGUCGGUUCCG
rnacentral:tRNA from 2 species